GUGUUAUGUUAACGAUAAUUUGUCCCUGCAGUUCGUUCACCACAACGUUGAUCAUUUAGUUUUGUUUCACUGCGUCCAGGAAGUUAAACGCUGGCCGGAAACGAGCCAUUGUUUGGCUUGGCGUUUUUUUUUGUUUGCUAAUGUUACGUGUGUUUCGAGCACCUGAACUAAGUUAGGUUAGCUACGUUAGUGCUAAUUAAGGCAUUUUUUGUCUUGUUUACAUGCGCAGUAGACGACCACAGUGAAGGGAAGUUGUCAACACCUGCGUCCACGUGCAAAGGACGGAGGAGGUUUUGGGCAGACUCAGUUCAGGACAUGGAUGCAUCUGCACUACAAUGAUGCAAACCUUGUUUUGGCAGCCGAUUGCAUCAAGCCAAGUGUUGGACAACAGUCGCCGCCUGGUGAAGGGGACCUAAGAAAAAGGACACUGGCUUACAGCGCAUUUCUGGUACAGCAAAUUUUAGACAAGAUGAAUACCCACCGGGGAGGAAGAGGACCUGGAGACUUCUUGGGCAGUCAUCGGACCUUGAAGGAA